rnacentral:rRNA from 1 species
GGGUUGUGAGGUUAAGCGACUAAGCGUACACGGUGGAUGCCCUGGCAGUCAGAGGCGAUGAAGGACGUGCUAAUCUGCGAUAAGCGCCGGUAAGGUGAUAUGAACCGUUAUAACCGGCGAUUUCCGAAUGGGGAAACCCAGUGUGAUUCGUCACACUAUCAUUAACUGAAUCCAUAGGUUAAUGAGGCGAACCGGGGGAACUGAAACAUCUAAGUACCCCGAGGAAAAGAAAUCAACCGAGAUUCCCCCAGUAGCGGCGAGCGAACGGGGAGGAGCCCAGAGCCUGAAUCAGCAUGUGUGUUAGUGGAAGCGUCUGGAAAGGCGCGCGAUACAGGGUGACAGCCCCGUACACAAAAGCGCAUGUGCUGUGAGCUCGAUGAGUAGGGCGGGACACGUGGUAUCCUGUCUGAAUAUGGGGGGACCAUCCUCCAAGGCUAAAUACUCCUGACUGACCGAUAGUGAACCAGUACCGUGAGGGAAAGGCGAAAAGAACCCCGGCGAGGGGAGUGAAAAAGAACCUGAAACCGUGUACGUACAAGCAGUGGGAGCCCCACCACUAAGCCAGUGGUGAACUCCACAUACGCAUCCUUUGCUGAGGAUACGGUUAACGGAGCGAAAGCGACGUUCAACCGCAAAAGAAGCAGAGGGGGCUUAGUGGUGGGGUGACUGCGUACCUUUUGUAUAAUGGGUCAGCGACUUAUAUUCUGUAGCAAGGUUAACCGAAUAGGGGAGCCGGAGGGAAACCGAGUCUUAACCGGGCGUUAAGUUGCAGGGUAUAGACCCGAAACCCGGUGAUCUAGCCAUGGGCAGGUUGAAGGUUGGGUAACACUAACUGGAGGACCGAACCGACUAAUGUUGAAAAAUUAGCGGAUGACCUGUGGCUGGGGGUGAAAGGCCAAUCAAACCGGGAGAUAGCUGGUUCUCCCCGAAAGCUAUUUAGGUAGCGCCUCGUGAAUUCAUCUCCGGGGGUAGAGCACUGUUUCGGCUAGGGGGCCAUCCCGGCUUACCAACCCGAUGCAAACUGCGAAUACCGGAGAAUGUUAUCACGGGAGACACACGGCGGGUGCUAACGUCCGUCGUGAAGAGGGAAACAACCCAGACCGCCAGCUAAGGUCCCAAAGUCAUGGUUAAGUGGGAAACGAUGUGGGAAGGCCCAGACAGCCAGGAUGUUGGCUUAGAAGCAGCCAUCAUUUAAAGAAAGCGUAAUAGCUCACUGGUCGAGUCGGCCUGCGCGGAAGAUGUAACGGGGCUAAACCAUGCACCGAAGCUGCGGCAGCGACACUGUGUGUUGUUGGGUAGGGGAGCGUUCUGUAAGCCUGUGAAGGUGGCCUGUGAGGGUUGCUGGAGGUAUCAGAAGUGCGAAUGCUGACAUAAGUAACGAUAAAGCGGGUGAAAAGCCCGCUCGCCGGAAGACCAAGGGUUCCUGUCCAACGUUAAUCGGGGCAGGGUGAGUCGACCCCUAAGGCGAGGCCGAAAGGCGUAGUCGAUGGGAAACGGGUUAAUAUUCCCGUACUUGGUGUUACUGCGAAGGGGGGACGGAGAAGGCUAUGUUGGCCGGGCGACGGUUGUCCCGGUUUAAGCGUGUAGGUGUGUGUUCCAGGUAAAUCCGGUUCACUUUAACACUGAGGCGUGACGACGAGGCACUACGGUGCUGAAGCAACAAAUGCCCUGCUUCCAGGAAAAGCCUCUAAGCAUCAGGUAACAUCAAAUCGUACCCCAAACCGACACAGGUGGUCAGGUAGAGAAUACCAAGGCGCUUGAGAGAACUCGGGUGAAGGAACUAGGCAAAAUGGUGCCGUAACUUCGGGAGAAGGCACGCUGACACGUAGGUGAAGUGAUUUACUCAUGGAGCUGAAGUCAGUCGAAGAUACCAGCUGGCUGCAACUGUUUAUUAAAAACACAGCACUGUGCAAACACGAAAGUGGACGUAUACGGUGUGACGCCUGCCCGGUGCCGGAAGGUUAAUUGAUGGGGUCAGCGCAAGCGAAGCUCCUGAUCGAAGCCCCGGUAAACGGCGGCCGUAACUAUAACGGUCCUAAGGUAGCGAAAUUCCUUGUCGGGUAAGUUCCGACCUGCACGAAUGGCGUAAUGAUGGCCAGGCUGUCUCCACCCGAGACUCAGUGAAAUUGAACUCGCUGUGAAGAUGCAGUGUACCCGCGGCAAGACGGAAAGACCCCGUGAACCUUUACUAUAGCUUGACACUGAACAUUGAGCCUUGAUGUGUAGGAUAGGUGGGAGGCUUUGAAGUGUGGACGCCAGUCUGCAUGGAGCCGACCUUGAAAUACCACCCUUUAAUGUUUGAUGUUCUAACGUGGACCCGUUACCCGGGUUGCGGACAGUGUCUGGUGGGUAGUUUGACUGGGGCGGUCUCCUCCUAAAGAGUAACGGAGGAGCACGAAGGUUGGCUAAUCCUGGUCGGACAUCAGGAGGUUAGUGCAAUGGCAUAAGCCAGCUUGACUGCGAGCGUGACGGCGCGAGCAGGUGCGAAAGCAGGUCAUAGUGAUCCGGUGGUUCUGAAUGGAAGGGCCAUCGCUCAACGGAUAAAAGGUACUCCGGGGAUAACAGGCUGAUACCGCCCAAGAGUUCAUAUCGACGGCGGUGUUUGGCACCUCGAUGUCGGCUCAUCACAUCCUGGGGCUGAAGUAGGUCCCAAGGGUAUGGCUGUUCGCCAUUUAAAGUGGUACGCGAGCUGGGUUUAGAACGUCGUGAGACAGUUCGGUCCCUAUCUGCCGUGGGCGCUGGAGAAUUGAGGGGGGCUGCUCCUAGUACGAGAGGACCGGAGUGGACGCAUCACUGGUGUUCGGGUUGUCAUGCCAAUGGCACUGCCCGGUAGCUAAAUGCGGAAGAGAUAAGUGCUGAAAGCAUCUAAGCACGAAACUUGCCCCGAGAUGAGUUCUCCCUGAGACUUUAAGUCUCCUGAAGGAACGUUGAAGACGACGACGUUGAUAGGCCGGGUGUGUAAGCGCAGCGAUGCGUUGAGCUAACCGGUACUAAUGAACCGUGAGGCUUAACCUUACAACGCCGAAG